rnacentral:rRNA from 1 species
UACGGAGGAUCCGAGCGUUAUCCGGAUUUAUUGGGUUUAAAGGGUGCGUAGGCGGUUUGAUAAGUUAGAGGUGAAACGUCGGGGCUCAACCCCGAAACUGCCUCUAAUACUGUUGGACUAGAGAAUAGUUGCGGUAGGCGGAAUGUAUGGUGUAGCGGUGAAAUGCUUAGAGAUCAUACAGAACACCGAUUGCGAAGGCAGCUUACCAAACUAUAUCUGACGUUGAGGCACGAAAGCGUGGGUAGCAAACAGG